UACGAAGGGGGCUAGCGUUGCUCGGAAUCACUGGGCGUAAAGGGUGCGUAGGCGGGUCUCUAAGUCAGGGGUGAAAUCCUGGAGCUCAACUCCAGAACUGCCUUUGAUACUGGAGAGCUUGAGUCCGGAAGAGGUGAGUGGAACUCCGAGUGUAGAGGUGAAAUUCGUAGAUAUUCGGAAGAACACCAGUGGCGAAGGCGGCUCACUGGUCCGGUACUGACGCUGAUGUGCGAAAGCGUGGGGAGCAUACAGG
rnacentral:rRNA from 1 species